CAGUCGAGCGAACGGAUAAGGAGCUUGCUCCUUUGAAGUUAGCGGCGGACGGGUGAGUAACACGUGGGUAACCUACCUAUAAGACUGGAAUAACUUCGGGAAACCGGAGCUAAUGCCGGAUAACAUUUGGAACCGCAUGGUUCUAAAGUAAAAGAUGGUUUUGCUAUCACUUAUAGAUGGACCCGCGCCGUAUUAGCUAGUUGGUAAGGUAACGGCUUACCAAGGCAACGAUACGUAGCCGACCUGAGAGGGUGAUCGGCCACACUGGAACUGAGACACGGUCCAGACUCCUACGGGAGGCAGCAGUAGGGAAUCUUCCGCAAUGGACGAAAGUCUGACGGAGCAACGCCGCGUGAGUGAUGAAGGUUUUCGGAUCGUAAAACUCUGUUAUUAGGGAAGAACAAAUGCGUAAGUAACUGUGCGCAUCUUGACGGUACCUAAUCAGAAAGCCACGGCUAACUACGUGCCAGCAGCCGCGGUAAUACGUAGGUGGCAAGCGUUAUCCGGAAUUAUUGGGCGUAAAGCGCGCGUAGGCGGUUUCUUAAGUCUGAUGUGAAAGCCCACGGCUCAACCGUGGAGGGUCAUUGGAAACUGGGAAACUUGAGUACAGAAGAGGAAAGUGGAAUUCCAUGUGUAGCGGU
rnacentral:rRNA from 1 species